rnacentral:rRNA from 1 species
ACUCCUACGGGAGGCAGCAGUGGGGAAUAUUGGACAAUGGGCGCAAGCCUGAUCCAGCCAUGCCGCGUGUGUGAAGAAGGCCUUCGGGUUGUAAAGCACUUUCAGCGAGGAGGAAGGGAUGUAUGUUAAUAGCAUGCAUUUUUGACGUUACUCGCAGAAGAAGCACCGGCUAACUCUGUGCCAGCAGCCGCGGUAAUACAGAGGGUGCAAGCGUUAAUCGGAAUUACUGGGCGUAAAGCGCACGUAGGCGGUUGUUUAAGUUGGAUGUGAAAGCCCCGGGCUCAACCUGGGAAUUGCAUUCAAAACUGGACAACUAGAGUGUGUGANAGGGGGUUAGAAUUCCAAGUGUAGCGGUGAAAUGCGUAGAGAUUUGGAGGAAUACCAGUGGCGAAGGCGGCCCCCUGGCACAACACUGACGCUCAGGUGCGAAAGCGUGGGGAGCAAACAGGAUUAGAUACCCUGGUAGCGUCGUCU